AUACGGAGGGUGCAAGCGUUACUCGGAAUCACUGGGCGUAAAGCGUGCGCAGGCGGUCUUUUAAGUUGGAUGUGAAAGCCUACGGCUCAACCGUAGAACUGCAUCCAAAACUAUUAGACUAGAGUGUGGGAGAGGAAGAUGGAAUUAGUUGUGUAGGGGUAAAAUCCGUAGAGAUAACUAGGAAUACCAAAAGCGAAGGCAAUCUUCUGGAACACUACUGACGCUGAGGCGCGAAAGCGUGGGGAGCAAACAGGAUUAGAAACCCUAGUAGUCC
rnacentral:rRNA from 1 species